UGAGGAAUAUUGGUCAAUGGACGAGAGUCUGAACCAGCCAAGUAGCGUGAAGGAUGAAGGCUCUAUGGGUCGUAAACUUCUUUUAUAUGGGAAUAAAGUGAGCCACGUGUGGCUUUUUGUAUGUACCAUAUGAAUAAGGACCGGCUAACUCCGUGCCAGCAGCCGCGGUAAUACGGAGGGUCCGAGCGUUAUCCGGAUUUAUUGGGUGUAAAGGGAGCGUAGACGGCUAUGCAAGUCUGAUGUGAAAACCCGGGGCUCAACCCCGGGACUGCAUUGGAAACUGUGUAGCUAGAGUGUCGGAGAGGUAAGUGGAAUUCCUAGUGUAGCGGUGAAAUGCAUAGAUAUAACUUAGAACUCCGAUAGCGAAGGCAGCUUACCAGACUGUCACUGACGCUGAUGCACGAGAGCAUGGGUAGCAAACA
rnacentral:rRNA from 1 species